rnacentral:rRNA from 1 species
UACGUAGGGGGCAAGCGUUGUCCGGAUUUAUUGGGCGUAAAGAGCGUGUAGGCGGCUUUGCAAGUCCGUUGUGAAAACUCGAGGCUCAACCUCGAGACGCCGGUGGAAACUGCAAAGCUAGAGUCCGGAAGAGGAGAGUGGAAUUCCUGGUGUAGCGGUGAAAUGCGCAGAUAUCAGGAAGAACACCCCGUGGCUAAGGCGGCUCUCUAGUACGGUACUGACGCUGAGACGCGAAAGCGUGGGGAGCGAACAGG